UGGGGAAUUUUUGACAAUGGGGGAAACCCUGAUCCAGCCAUCCCGCGUGUGCGAUGAAGGCAUUCGGGUUGUAAAGCACUUUUGGCAGGAAAGAAACGUCAUGGGUUAAUACCCCGUGAAACUGACGGUACCUGCAGAAUAAGCACCGGCUAACUACGUGCCAGCAGCCGCGGUAAUACGUAGGGUGCAAGCGUUAAUCGGAAUUACUGGGCGUAAAGCGUGCGCAGGCGGUUCGGAAAGAAAGAUGUGAAAUCCCAGAGCUCAACUUUGGAACUGCAUUUUUAACUACCGGGCUAGAGUGUGUCAGAGGGAGGGGGAAUUCCGCGUGUAGCAGUGAAAUGCGUAGAUAUGCGGAGGAACACCGAUGGCGAAGGCAGCCUCCUGGGAUAACACUGACGCUCAUGCACGAAAGCGUGGGGAGCAAACAGG
rnacentral:rRNA from 1 species